UUGAACGCUGGCGGCAUGCUUUACACAUGCAAGUCGAACGGUAACAGGCCUUCGGGUGCUGACGAGUGGCGAACGGGUGAGUAAUGCAUCGGAACGUGCCCAAUCGUGGGGGAUAACGUAGCGAAAGUUACGCUAAUACCGCAUACGCCCUGAGGGGGAAAGCGGGGGAUCGCAAGACCUCGCGCGAUAGGAGCGGCCGAUAUCGGAUUAGCUAGUUGGUGAGGUAAAGGCUCACCAAGGCGACGAUCCGUAGCUGGUCUGAGAGGACGACCAGCCACACUGGAACUGAGACACGGUCCAGACUCCUACGGGAGGCAGCAGUGGGGAAUUUUGGACAAUGGGGGAAACCCUGAUCCAGCCAUUCCGCGUGAGUGAAGAAGGCCUUCGGGUUGUAAAGCUCUUUCGGCAGGAACGAAACGGUAAGGGCUAAUAUCCUUUGCUAAUGACGGUACCUGAAGAAGAAGCACCGGCUAACUACGU
rnacentral:rRNA from 1 species